AUUAGCCCUGAGCUAACAUCUGCCGUCAAUCCUCCUCUUUUUUGCUGAAGAAGACCGGCCCCGAGCUAACAUCCAUGCCCAUCUUCCUCUACUUUACACGUGGGAUGCCUGCCACAGCAUGGCUUGAGAAGUGGUGCAUAAGUCUGCACCCGGGAUCUGAACCGGUGAACUCUGGGCAGCCAAAGUGGAAACUGCCAACUUAACCGCUGCACCACCAGGCUGGCCACGAGGAUUUUUUUUUUUUAAUGAACAAUUUUCUCAUAGGAGCCCCAGAAAGAUUCAGGCCUUAGAGACACUAAGUACCAUAGAAGAAUCUAUUGAUCGCUUGUCCUGCUGUUCCAGCCCACAGCAUGCUAUGAGGCUCCCAACAGUGUCCCGGACAGGUCGAGGAAAAUGAGCGUGGCAUCUCCUUAAGGAAGCAUGUCUCAGAUUCUACACCAGCCUGCAUGUUGCAAGAUUGCGUCCCACCCGAUGAUUUUCCUCGGGUUCCAGUCUUUGUUCACUGCUGGGGCUUUUUCAAUGGCUGCCAGGCAGCAGGUAAGAGCGACUUACAGCUUUUUUCAUAGAAAAUAUCAUGAAAUAGUUUUAAUUAACGGAUGCCAAUUCUACUUUUUCCCUGUUCCUAGUAUUAAAUUGCCUUCCAUCAAAGUCAGUUAUUUGAGCAAAACAGGUCAGGCACACUCCCUAUGGGGCAGCCCCUAGAAAGACAUUGUAUGGCAGCAACGGAUUUAACCUCGGGGUUUACUCCCAGCCUUUGGGAGGUCCAAUCCUCCCAAUUCUGUUUCUCUUUAUUGGUCUAAGAUGCUGUGUUACCAUGAUUGUGUGUUGUUUCUUUUUAAAAAUAUGUUUUAAAAAAUAUUGUGUGUAUGGGUAGCUG
rnacentral:lncRNA from 1 species